rnacentral:rRNA from 1 species
UACAGAGGUCCCAAGCGUUGUUCGGAUUCACUGGGCGUAAAGGGUGCGUAGGUGGCGUGGUAAGUCUGAUGUGAAAGCUUCGAGCUCAACUCGAAAAUGGCAUUGGAUACUAUCACGCUGGAGGUUUGGAGGGGGGACUGGAAUUCUCGGUGUAGCAGUGAAAUGCGUAGAUAUCGAGAGGAACACCGGUGGCGAAGGCGAGUCCCUGGACAACACCUGACACUGAGGCACGAAAGCUAGGGGAGCAAACAGG